UCUUUCCUACGGGGGGCAGCAGUGGGGGAUAUUGCACAAUGGGGGAAACCCUGAUGCAGCGACGCCGCGUGGGCGAAGAAGUAUUUCGGUAUGUAAAGCUCUAUCAGCAGGGAAGAAAAAAAUGACGGUACCUGAGUAAGAAGCACCGGCUAAAUACGUGCCAGCAGCCGCGGUAAUACGUAGGGGGCAAGCGUUAUCCGGAUUUACUGGGUGUAAAGGGAGCGUAGACGGCUAAUCAAGUCAGAAGUGAAAACCCAGG
rnacentral:rRNA from 1 species